rnacentral:tRNA from 1 species
GGGAGGGUCAUGGCUCAAUUGAUAAGAGUAUCUGCUUGGCACCCAGGAGGCCCCAGCUUCAAAUGCUGGCAUUUCCA